UAAACUCUUAAUUUAAAAGMCAGUAGUUAAACUNUACUAUUAAGGG
rnacentral:tRNA from 1 species